GACGAACGCUGGCGGCGUGCCUAAUACAUGCAAGUCGAGCGAACGGACGAGAAGCUUGCUUCUCUGAUGUUAGCGGCGGACGUGUGAGGAACAUGAGGAGAACCUACCUAUAAGACUGGUAUAACUUCGGGAAACCGGUGCUGAUACGGGAUAAUAUUUUGAUCCGCAGGGUUCAAAAGUUAAGGACGGUCUUGCUGUCACUUAUACAUGUAUCCGCGCUGCAUUAGCUAGUUGGUACGGUAACGGCUUCCCAUGGCAACGAUGCAUAGCCGACCGGAGAGGGUGUACGGCCACACUGGAGCUGAGACACGGCCCAGACACCUACGGGCGGCAGCGAUAGCGACUCUUCGGCGAUGGGCGGAAGCCUGCCGGAGCGACGCCGCGCUAAUGCUGCAGGUCCGCGGGUCGUAAGACUGUCUUAUUGGGGAAGAACAUAUGUGUCAGUGACUGUGCUCGUCUUGACGGUACCUGAUCAGGAAGCAACGGCUAACUACGUG
rnacentral:rRNA from 1 species